rnacentral:lncRNA from 1 species
UGGACUCACAGGCCUCCCUUCCACUCACAGCUUUUUGAAGUAGCUCUGUGGACUUACACCAGAGAGAUGAAAAGCUGAAAUCCAGCUGCCGUUCAUUCCUGCUUUGAGAUUAGGAAAGGUAGAGCUGAAUUUGGGCUAUGUUACUCAGAAGCUUUUCCCCAGCUGAUGGAGGCCUGCCCUGGAGGUGCUCAGCUCCAUCUCUGCUGUCCAGGCUGUGAGCAAGAACACCUAAGGAAAGCCAGCAGCCUCCUUCACUCUCCCUCCCCAUCCAUUCAGGAUUUUAGGAGAUCUGCAGGUGCCAGGGAUCCUGCCUCCAGCUUGGGUCCAGGGUAAAUUUCGGCCAAGAUGAAGCCUCUUAUUGGCUGCAUGAAUUCUAGCCUCCUUCAUUAACAUGGCCUCCUGGUAAAAGAGCCAUUCAGGAUGCCUGGAGGAGCCCAGAUUUCAAAUCUGAUGAAGUCUGCAGUUCUAUAAAUUCCCUCCCUCUUUUGUGCUGAUGGCAACGACUUUUAUAUGUAUUUUCAUGUCUUUCUCUCCAGAGAUAAAUUUUGUGGCCUGCCACUGAAUCUGCUUCCUAAAAUGUAGCUUGGAGAUUUUAUUUGAGAUAAACUAUCAUGUGA